GAUGAAGAACGUAGCGAAAUGCGAUACGUAAUGUGAAUUGCAGAAUUCAGUGAAUCAUCGAAUCUUUGAACGCAUAUUGCGCUCUCUGGUAUUCCGGAGAGCAUGCUUGUUUGAGUAUCAGUAAACACCUCAACUUCCAUAUCUUUUUUUGAAAUGGGAGUUGGACUUGAGUGAUCCCAACGCUUUUCCUCACCGAAAAGUGGCGGGUUACUUGAAAUGCAGGUGCAGCUGGACUUUUCUCUGAGCUAUAAGCAUAUCUAUUUAGUCUGCCUAAAAAACAGAUUAUUACCUUUGCUGCAGCUAACAUAAAGGAGAUUAGUUCUUGUGCUGACUGAUGCAGGAUUCACAAAGACAGGCUUCGGCCGACUUUGUAAACUCGAUCUCAAAUCAAGUAAGACUACCCGCUGAACUUAAGCAUAUCAAUAAGCGGAGGA
rnacentral:misc_RNA from 1 species